rnacentral:rRNA from 1 species
GACGAACGCUGGCGGCGUGCCUAAUACAUGCAAGUUGAGCGAAGAAGGUUGGUACUUGUUCCAACUGGAUGAGCAGCGAACGGGUGAGUAACGCGUGGGUAACCUGCCUUUGAGCGGGGGACAACAUCUGGAAACGAAUGCUAAUACCGCAUAAUAACUUUAAACACAAGUUUUAAGAUUGAAAGAUGCACUUGCAUUAACCAAUGAUGAUCUCGCGUUGUAUUAGCUAGUUGGUGAGGUAAAGGCUCACCAAGGCGAUGGUACAUAAGCGACCUGAGAGGGUGAUCGGCCACAUCUGGACUGGGACACGGCCCAAACUCCUACGGGAGGGAGCAGGAGGGGAUCUUCGGCAAUGGACGAAAGUCUGACCGGACAACGCCGCGUGGGUGGAGGAGGUUCUUGGAUCCGAAAACCCUGUUGAUUGGGGAGGACGGUAGGGGGAAUGGAAAGCGCAUCAAGUGACGGUAACUACCCAGAAAGCGACGGCUAACUACGUG